CCUGGCUCAGGACGAACGCUGGCGGCGUGCCUAAUACAUGCAAGUCGAACGGACGAGUAAGAGCUUGCUCUUAUGAGUUAGUGGCGCACGGGUGAGUAAUGUAUAGCUAAUCUGCCCUACACUAGAGGACAACAGUUGGAAACGACUGCUAAUACUCUAUACACCUCUCUAGCAUAAGUUAGAUAGGGAAAGUUUUUCGGUGUAGGAUGAGGCUAUAUUGUAUCAGCUAGUUGGUGAGGUAAUGGCUCACCAAGGCUAUGACGCAUAACUGGUCUGAGAGGAUGAUCAGUCACACUGGAACUGAGACACGGUCCAGACUCCUACGG
rnacentral:rRNA from 1 species